rnacentral:rRNA from 1 species
UACGUAGGUGGCAAGCGUUUGUCCGGAAUUACUGGGCGUAAAGCGCGUGUAGACGGUUAGGAAAGCGUUUAUGUAAAGGCGUGGGCUCAACCCACGUAAGCAGGACGAACUGCCUGACUUGAGUGCAGGAGAGGCAAGUGGAAUUCCCAGUGUAGCAGUGAAAUGCGUAGAGAUUGGGAGGAACACCAGUGGCGAAGGCGACUUGCUGGACUGUAACUGACGUUGAGACGCGAAAGCCAGGGGAGCAAACGGG